rnacentral:lncRNA from 1 species
AAUAAUAAUAAUAAUAAAAAAGUUAGAUAGGCAGAAGGCAGAAAAACUGGUUUACCCAUCAGCUGUGGAGAUGCAGUAGGACCUGGAGGACUGAGCAAAGAGGCAAACACUGUUUUUCUCUUUCAGUCAUUCUCACUUCUCUUAGAGAAUAUUCUGGAUUUGCCCAUGACUCAGAGGAUGACAUCAGAAAUGACACAUAACCCAUCUGCCCUCACUGAAUGGCAGUAAGAUGUCUCUGCCUCAGGGAGAUGUUGUGAAGAUAGAUUUGUUUUCCUGUAAUUUGACUGUCUGAAAUAAUUUGACUGUAUAAAUGCUAACGAUGCUGAUCUGGAGCAAUCUUCCCACCAUUUCUCGUAAUUUCUGGUGUGUAAAACAGACUGCCUUCCUCAGCUGGAAAUUCCUGUGGGGAGUUUACUGAGAAGUGAAGAGCUCAUUCUCUGCAAGUGGAGUCCCACUGUGCAUCCUGGUGUGUUCAAUUAUGAUUUUUUAGACUGUAUGUUCUCUUUAAUGUGCAUGUGUGCCACUAGGUAGAGCAAGGUAAGGACAGAACAUAGACAUGGGAGAGAGACUUUACUACCUUAUUUCUUGGCAUUUUGAAGUGAUAAUACAAGAAGAUGAUCAGCUGCUUUGGUAGAAAGGAAUAAAUUUACUUCAUUUGUUAAGUUGAUGGAUGAAGGGAUGAUAAAGUUACUCUUGUUUAAAUUCUUUAUAUAGUGGCAUGAUUGAAAGACUAAGGCAGAUGGCAAUUUUGCAAUUGCAACUAUAUAUUUUUCAGCAAAAAAAAAAAAAAAAGAAAAAAAAGUUUUCUAAUUUUCUAACCACUGUUUUUAAGAUGUAUGUAUUACGAAGAAAAACAUUUCACUUAAAGAAACACCAAAAAACAGCAAACCAUGUCAAACUGAUAAUUGAAAAACUAAUGAAUCUUUGUUACUUGUAGGCAUUUUCUCCUGAAAGUCACAUUCCCAUCUUAACUCUCUCUCCCAGGAAGAACUAUGACCAGGAGCUCUUGUGAUGUAACUGCCUUCAUUUGUCACAAUGGGAGAUUGGUAACCAACACUGGAAACGUAUUCUGCAGAAGGAGUACAUUUAUGGAGAAGAAUAUGAACCUGUGGAAGAUGCUUCCCCAGAACCAUGAUAAAGCGGAGUCUCGGAAAGCUGGGUUUGGUCUCAGGAGCAGGAGAAACUACAUGGAAGCCAAAGAAGAAUCAGGUAUUACUGCAGUGACUAGCAGUGUGGCUGGCCUUGUAUUCUGACUAAUCAAGAACGCAGAGAACACUGUGGCUGG